rnacentral:lncRNA from 1 species
UUAUGUAGCUAAUCUUAGUUAUUCAGGGCGUAGACCUAGACUAGAAAUGAAGUCUUGAAAGGAAGUUGAACUGUACUUGAACUGUACUUGAAAGGAAGUUGACCAAGCUGGAAGUGCUUAUGGAAUUAUGUCCAACACCUUCUAUUCACAUGAAAAAAAAAGAAUCUAACUAUCAGUCGAGUCUGUUGCUAAGAUACCACGCUUCCUUCUUUUGACCGUGAAGAGCAGGCAAUUUUCCUCUGUCUGGUGUUUAUGGUAAAAGGACAAGAUUGAAAUGACCAGGAACAGAAAUUUUCUUCUUUGAGCCGGACCUUAUCAGCUCCAAGUUCCACUUGAAGUGGACAGUGAGGGCAGGAAAGGAUGUGCUACUCUUCGGUAAAAUCGUCAAAACGUAAUCGAAGCUAACAAGAACGCACUGGCUGGUCAGCUUCGAAAGACUUAUGGGUCGGGGACUAUCAUGGAUAACUCCCAGAAAUCCCCUGCGAGGCAGUACUGCCAGUUCGAAAUAGACUCCACAGAAACAGAAGUGCAGCUAGACAGGAACUGCUCGAGAUGUGCUCAGAGCGACGAAGCUGCACUGUAUACAUCUGUGCAGUAUCCGAGUUAUGUCGGACAGCUGCUGCCGCGUGUGGGAUAGAUCUAGCUUCCCAUCCUACACCCGGACGUGUGGUAAUGACAAAAAAAAAAGGACGAGGUUAAAAGGAUUAAGGACAGAUACUUCCCUCUCCGUGAAGCCCUUAUCGGCUGUAAUAAAAGCUCCUGUAAUAAAUCACCAUCAUCAUCAUCAUUAAUAUUAUUAUUAUUAUUAUUAUUAUUAUUAUUAUUGUCGUUGUUGUUGUUGUUGUUGUUGUUGUUGUUGUUAUUCAGCAGUCUUAUUUUUUAUUUAUCUGUUUGUUUAUUGUAUCCUUCCACUGUACUAUUACGCAUAGUUCUGUGUGACUCGGGGGUGUGCUGUGAUUUUGUUUUGGUGCCGUUAUCUUUACGACAUGAUCUGCACCGGAUGUGUGCAGUUUCUAGCAGUGCUAUUUUCUGUAUCUUACGUGUUCGUGAGUUUUGGUUUUCUAUUUGUCUCUUAUUAUUAUCAUUAGCCGCGAGCUAAAGGCGGCGAGCUGACGGGAUCGUUAGCACACCGGACGAAAUGCACAGCGGUAUUUCGCCCGUCUUUACGUUCUGAGUUCAAAUUCUGCCUUUCAUUCUUUCAGGGUCGAUGAAAUAAGUACCAGUUACGCACUGGGGUCGAUGUAAUCGACUUAUUCCCCUCCCCCAAGCUGCCCUUGUGGCAAAAAAUUGAAAUCAUUAUUAGUCGCGAGCUAGGUGAAUCGUUUGCAUGUCAGACAAAAUGCUUACGAGUAUUUCGUUCGUCUUUACGUUCUGAGUUCAAAUUCCGCCGAGGCCGACUUUACCUUUUAUCUUUUCAGGGUCGAACACUGUGGUUGAUGUAAUCAAUUUGUAAUCCUUCCUUGGACCGAAAUCUGAAAGCAUUAUUACUGUGAUGGAUUGGAAGAACCAAAAAUGCCUCGAGAAAAAUAUAUUUUCUUUGUGGCAUUUGUUCCGGCUGUUCUGAGUUCAAAUCCCGCCGAGGUCAACUUUGCCUUUCCUUCUUUGAACUACCACCACCACCACAACCACCACCACAACCACCACUACUACUAUUUCUACUACUGCUAACUAACCUAGCUGUGAGGGUGUGAGAAGGGCAGUCCGCGCUUGGAUGACGUUUUAGAGGGGCGGCGGCUUUAAUGAGUAUUAUAUUGUUUCUCGGGUGGCAAAUACGAACUCAAGGACUACUCCGGACGGCACAACUUCGCAACCACCACCAUCACCACCACUACUACUACUGCUGCUGCUGCUGUUGUACUACUACAACUACUACAAACAGCAAAAGUAACUGUAGUAGUAGUGUGUGAGUAAUUUCGUUUUGUAUCACUUUCUCAUUCUCAGAAAUCCUGUUGAUAUAAUUUCUGGUUUGGGUCGAGAGUCUACACUUUUUGUUCGUAUCCUGGUUCCUUGUAAAUGUCAACAACCAAUUUACAAGUACCAAAUAUUGCGUAACAUUAAUGUAAUAUGGUGGUGCUUAUGCCUCGGCUGUUAUGGGAAGCAUUGAUUGAAAAACAAAAGUUGACGCGACCUAAUUUUAAAGAGCAACUUGGUUACUUUUUAGUCAAGAUAAUACAUAUGGGAGCAGCCGGCCAACCCGCCGAAGAGUCAGCGUUUCCCACAUGCCUAUUUCUUUACUACCCACAAGGGGCUAAACACAGAGAGGACAAACGGCUUAAGUCGAUCAUAUCGACCCCAGUGCGUAACUGGUACUUAAUUUAUCGACCCCGAAAGGAUAAAAGACAAAGUCGACCUCGGCGGAAUUUGAACUCAGAACGUAGCGGCAGACGAAAUACGGCUAAGCAUUUCGCCCGGCGUGCUAACGUUUCUGCCAGCUCGCCGCCUUUCCCACAUACCAUUAUCUUCAAUAUUCUGUUUCUGAUCAAAACGUCUUAAAAUCAUGCUGGGCCAGUCAAAAAAAAGAAAUAAUCAUAAACGGAACAGCCACACACUGCUAGUCGGUCAGUUACUGAGGCACUUGACCUGAAAUAAGAUCGCUUAUGAACUUGAUGUGUUGAAAUAGAAUAAAUAUCAGAAGAUGCAAAAUUGUCCGGCAGUGGUCAGCGAGAGCACCGGAGGCCCUUUCAAUGGCGCGCACUCGCAGACAUUCACAUGCUCAGAUGAACAUUCUUGACCUCUGAUGUAGGGAGAAGGGAAUAAAACAUUCACCGAUGUCGUCAGGCUGAAUAAAAAUCUGGUAUAAGCAACUUAGGCGUUAUUAAAUUUGAAUAGCUAUCAAUAUAUCAUACUAAAUGUAUACACUCUGUCGAAAGAAUUUGUUCUGCAAAAUUUGUUCUGAAAUAACAUCUCUUAUGAACGUGUUGAGUUAAAAACAAUAAAUAUCAGAGGAAAUGAUAGAAAAAAUUCUAAGGGGGUUGGUUUAUUUUUUUACCCUGGAAAAACAUAGCCGUUGUUUAGCAUCAUGGACAAGAUAUUGAACCUCUCUCUCUCUCUCUCUCUCUCUCUCUCUCUCUCUCUCUCUCUCUCUCUCUCUCUCUCUCUCUCUCCUCUCUUUCUCUCUCUUUCCAUGUCUCUGUUUACAUAUGCUUGGAAAACGAUUAAUUUUAUUCAGAAAGAGAGCAGCAGCGAGCACGAGGUUCGAACUAAAGGCCACAACUGUAUACGUGUCGGAGAUCCAUUUUUAAUCGCACUAUAUACGAGGACGAGGAGGCACAUGGCCUAGUGGUUAUAGCAGCGAACUCGCGGUCGAGGAGUCGCGGGUUCGAAUCUCAGACCGGGCGAUGUGUGUGUUUAUGAGCGAAACACCUAAGCUCCACGCGGCAACUUCUGCUGACUCUUUCGCCACAACUUUCUCUCUCACUCUUUCCACCUGCAUCUAGCAGCUCACCUACGAUGAACCAGAGUCCCGUCCAGGUGGGGAACUUAUACGCCAAGGAAACCGGGAAACCGGCCCUAUGAGGGCGUCGGACGAGCAAAGUAAAGGUCAUCACAGAGACGCCCUACACUGACAAACACAAAAUGAUGUCAGCAGUGAAAGAAUACGGGGAAAUACUAGAACCCAAGUCAAUCCCCAGGAGAAACGGACAAAAAUAUCGCCGUGGUCCAAGCGCUUGCACCGGAUUGCACCGGAGAUUUUUCCGGACAUCCUCGGACAUUGUCACAGUUGCUUUUAAUUUUUUUACUUCUCGAAGGUCUUAACUUGUUCUGGUUGAUUCUGUGAGAGCGGACAGCAACCUGCCGUCAGAGGUCUCACAGGGUCUCUUCCCGCAAAUUAUAAGCUUUGGUACUUAGAUGGUCACUUAUCGUGGAAGACAUUCAAAGACCAAAGCUUAUAAUUUGCGGCAAGACACACUGUGAGAGGGUCAAGCACUUGGUGGAUUACCCCGGAGAACCUUCUACACAUUCUUGAUCAUUGCUGUUGCUGUUGUUGUUGUUAUUAUCAUUAUUAUUAUUAUUAUCAUCAUCAUUAUUAUUAUUAUUAUUAUUAUUAUUAUUAUUAUUAUUAUUAUUAUUAUUAUUAUUAUUAUUAUUAUUAUUAUUAUUAUUAUUCAGUAGUUUUAUUUUUAUAGCGUGCUUUCACUUCACUACCGAGCACAGCUCUGUGUGCCUUGGGUAUGUGCUGUGAUUUGUUGUGAUGCUCUGAUGGUUAUUGUAUGGAAAGUGUUCUGCGUAGGGUGUCUGCAGUGCCUAGUAGUGCAAUUUUCUGUAUGUUAUAUGUGUUUGUAAGUCCUGGUGUUUUUGUUAUGUAUUUGUCUGAAUAUUUUUUUAUCAUGCCUAAUGCACCUACUAUGAUAGGAAUUGUUUCUGUUUUCAGAUUCCACAUUCUAGUUACCUCUAUUUCCAGGUCUUUGUAUUUUGAGAGUUUCUCCAUUUCUUUUAGAGACACGUUGUCAUCAGCCGGUAUUGAUACUUCAAUUAGAAAGCAUUUUUUUCUUCAUGAUCUCUGACAACUAUAUCUGGUCUGUUGGCCUUAAUUUCUCUAUCUGUGUGUAUCGGCAUAUUAUUAUUAUUAUUAUUAUUAUUAUUAUCAUUAUUAUUAUUAUUAUUAUUAUUAUUAUUAUUAUUAUUAUUAUUAUUAUUAUUAUCAUCAUUAUUAUUAUUAUUAUUAUUAUUAUUAUUAUUAUUAUUAUUAAUAUUAUUAUUAUUAUUAUUAUUAUUAUUAUCAUUAUCAUUAUUAUUAUUAUUAUUAUUAUUAUUAUUAUUAUUAUUAUUAUUAUCAUUAUCAUUAUUAUUAUUAUUAUUAUUAUUAUUAUUAUUAUUAUUAUCAUCAUCAUCAUUAUUUUUUUUUCUUCUUUCAAAUUUGCUUCCAUUUCUUGCCGAGUGUCUUCCCGACUCCUAGGGCAAAGAAACUCAUAGUAUACAUUGGUAGGCCAUUAAACCAAACUCAGUAGUUCGUUCAUUUUUUUUUUUUUUUUUAAGUUAAAUUAAAAUACAUGAGCAGCAACAGUUCUCACAUCGACAAUGCUCUUCUCAAUACGUGUGAUGUACCAGUUAAGACAAUCUUUUGCACUUCUUGCAGGGAUGGUAAGCCAGGGAUCAUUCUCAUAUAAUUUUCGGUUCCCUUCUUGAUCAUUCCUAGUGCUCCUACGAUCACUGGUAUUGUAACCGCCUUGAGAUGCCACAUUUUCUCAAUUUCAAUGAGUAGGUCUUUAUAUUUUCUGAGCUUGUCAAACUCUUUCGCUGAGAUAUUAUGAUCACAGGGGAUGCUCAUGUCGAUCAAUAAGCAAACUUUAUUGUUUUGGUCUUUCACAACAAUAUCUGGUUUAUUGGCCUUGAUGGUUCGGUCUGUAUGUACUGGAAAGUCCCACAGAAUGGUUACAUUUUCUCCUUCAGUUACAGCCUCAGGGUGGUGAUUAUACCACUUGUCGGCAGUUUUGAUAUUGUAAUGCCGACUUAUUAGCCAGUGUAGAUAUUGGCCAACUCUGUCAUGUCUUAAUUUAUACUCCACUGGUGCUAAGACUUUACAUCCAGAGAUUAGGUGGUCCACUGUUUCAAUCAUGUCGUUGCAGAAUCGGCAUUUUGGGUCUGCUCCAUUUUUCAUCACAUUGGCCUGGUAGUUCCGGGUUAAUAGGUUUUGAUCUUGAGCAGCCAGGAUGAAACCUUCGCUCUCUGCUUUUAGCCCUGAGCUCCGUAGCCACUGAUGGGUUUGCUUCUCGUCAACAUUAUUAUUAUUAUUAUUAUUAUUAUCAUUAUUAUUAUUAUUAUUAUUAUCAUUAUUAUUAUUAUUAUUAUUAUUAUUAUUAUUAUUAUUAUUAUUAUUAUUAUCAUUAUCAUUAUCAUUAUUAUUAUUAUUAUUAUUAUUAUUAUUAUUAUUAUUAUUAUCAUUAUCAUUAUCAUUAUUAUUAUUAUUAUUAUUAUUAUUAUCAUUAUCAUUAUUAUUAUUUUAUAUUAUUAUUAUUAUAUUAUUAUUAUCAUUAUUAUCUUAUUAUUAUUAUUGUAUUAUUAUUAUUAUUAUCAUUAUUAUUAUUAUUAUUAUAUAUUAUUUAUUAUCAUUAUUAUUAUCAUUAUUAUUAUUAUUAUUAUUAUUAUUAUUAUUAUUAUUAUUAUUAUUAUUAUUAUCAUUAUUAUCAUUAUUAUUAUUAUUGUUAUUAUUAUUAUUAUUAUCAUUAUUAUUAUUAUUAUUAUUAUUAUUAUUAUUAUUAUCAUUAUUAUUAUUAUUUUAUUAUUAUUAUUAUUAAGGCAGCGAUAUAUCGUCUGUCGAUAUGUUCUGAGUUCAAAUUCCGCUGAGGUCGACUUUGCCUUUCAUCCUUUCGGGGUCAAUAGAUUAAGUACCAGUGAAACACUGGAAUCGAUGUAUUCGACCAGUCCCCUCCCCACCCCACAAAUUUCAGGCCUUGUACUUCCUGUAGAAAGCAUUAUUAUUAUUAUUAUUAUUAUUAUUAUUAUUAUUAUUAUUAUUAUUAUUAUUGCAUUAUUAUUAUUAUUAUUAUUAUUAUUAUUAUUAUUAUUAUUAUUAUUAUUAUUAUUAUUAUUAUUGCAUUAUUAUUAUUAUUAUUAUUAUUAUUAUUAUUAUUAUUAUUAUUAUUAUUAUUAUUAUUAUUAUUGCAUUAUUAUUAUUAUUAUUAUUAUUAUUGCAUUAUUAUUAUUAUUAUUAUUAUUAUUAUUAUUAUUAUUAUUAUUAUUAUUGCAUUAUUAUUAUUAUUAUUAUUAUUAUUAUUAUUAUUAUUAUUAUUAUUAUUAUUAUUAUUAUUAUUAUUAUUAUUAUUAUUAUUAUUAUUAUUAUUAUUGUUGUUGUUUGAGGCGGUGAGCUGGCUGGAUCGUUUGCACGCCGGGCGAAAUGCUCAAUUUCGUCCGUCUUUGCGUUCUGAGUUCAAAUUCUGCCGGGGUCGCUAAAACAAGUACCAGUUAAGAAUUGGGGUCGAUGCGAUCGACUAUCCCCCUCCCCUUAAAAACUGAGCCAAAAUUUGAAACCAUUAUUAUUUUCAAUAUUAUUUUUCAUUUGAUUUUCAUAGUAUUUCAUCUUCUGGCCGGGUCUCAACCAGAAAAUUAGAUGGAGAGAAACUAUUAUUAUUAUUAUUAUUAUUAUUAUUUUUAUUCCAGCAGCAACUCCUCAGGUUCUUUUAAAAAUUAUUUCCGCGGAAUUUUCCGAUGAAGGUUUUUUUGUUAAUAUAUUUAUUUGCAGCUGAAAUUAUCUGGAGAGAUAAAAUGUGUGUGCGUGCACGCAUGGGUGCGCGUGUGUAUGCGUGUGUGUGUCUGCGCGCGCGCGCGCGUGUGUGUGUGUGUGUGUGUGUGUGUGCAUGUGUGUGUGUGUGUUUGUGCGUUCGUGUGUUGACAUUUCUGGAUACAACCCAACUUUCUUUCGCCAGUAGCCUUGGAAAGCUGACAGAUUUCGUAGUCAUGUCAACAAAGCUGUUGACAGUGGAAGAAAGGGCUUGUGUCGGAGGUGCGGUGGGAGGUGCAGCAAAGGCUGCAGUGGGAGGAUAACCAUAAUAGAGGUUGAGAUGUGGCUGCUGAGUGAUACAUUUUUAUCAGUGAAAUGAAGGAGAAACUAGCUGGGAAAAUGUAUAAAGAGAAGCUGUAAGAAGAUGAGUGACACGAGGGUUUAAGGGAGGGGUGAGGGGCGGAACGAGAAGCAAAUUAUACAAGAACAAGGGUGGGGGGGGAAUGGCACUCCGUCAGUUGCGACGACGAGUAUUUCAGUUGAUCCGAUCAACGGAACGGCCUAUUCGUGGAAUUAACAUGCAAGUGGUUGAGUAUUCCACAGACACACGUACCCUUAAUGUAAUUCUCAGGGAGACUCAGGCUGACCCCUUGAAAUACAGGUACUGCUCAUUUUUGCCAGCUGGAGCAACGUGAAAUAAAGUAUAUCGCUCAAGGACACCUCGCGCCGCUGGGAAUCGAACUCACGACUUUACGAUCGUGAACUGAAUACACUAAGCAGAAACAGUAGCAGUAAUGCCAACGAAGUCGACAUGGGAAAUUCUACGUGCUGAAAAUAACAGCCAAAUCCCCCUACAAUCCCCCCUCCCCUCCGGUUCACACUCUACCGCCUUAAUGAAGGGAAGAAAAAAAUGUUUGUGAUUGAUGGGAUGUUGGUCACGGGCAGAAAGGCUUGUUCAUCGAUCUGUUUGAUCAGAGUUGAUCUGAUGUCAGCUCAAGAGAUCUCUGAUGGAGCAAAUCAACAACAACAACAGCAACAACAGCAAAGCAUUUAAAACAACAACAUUUAAAACAAAAAAUAAAAUGUUCUUGUGAGACAUAAAUACAAGAAUUCCAACCGGAUCGGGUUAAAGCGGAACGGAAGUGAAUUUCAUAAGGCAUUAUUUAUCUUUCAGUCAAAUGGUAUCUUUGACCGAACUGGUUAUAUACAACCAAGGUACCCUGAGUCUUGGGUACCUAAGCCAUUCAGUGGAGUUGCAAUGCAAACAGUAGCACGGAAUAUGGCAGCGGAGGGAUAUCCAGGAGUCAUGACUGGGAUGCGGCCCGACUACUUUACGACGUAAGGGGUUUAGAGCCGAAACACUUUUAUGAUAUGAGUCCUUCUCUGAUGACCUGUUGUUCGGCUCUUCUCUUUCUUUAUCUUUAGUUUUCCUUUUUUUUUGUUCAAGAAAGGACCUUCUAAAAUUGGGUGUGACGUAUCAGGCUGAACCGGCUACAACACCUAAGGUACCUUGGCUUUAGGGCAUUAUCCAGGAGAGUUGUGAUGCAAACGGUUAAACAGAAUGUGACAGCAUGGAAUAUCCCGAAGUCAUGACCUGAAUGUGGCCCAAUCCCGUACAAUUAAGGAGCGAAAGACUAGCAUAUGGUGAAAGGGGCCUUCAUCUCUGAAGACCUCUUCGCACUAGAGUUUCUUAUUGCUGUAGCACGAUUUUAUUAUCCGGAACGUAUCAACAAUAAACAUUCAGACAUCAGAAUGACAUAGGACUGGAGACAAUGGGGCCUCAGGGCCACAAGACCUAAACGGUGGGGGUGGUCGAUUGCACUGACCCCCGCGCACGCACACUAUUUGACUAAUUUAUUAUUUCAUCGAUCUCGAAAGGUAAAGUUGAUCUCAGCGUGGUUUGAACUCAGAGGGUAUCCAUGACUAAACACCACAAGGCAUUUUGUCUGAUAUGGAAUGAGUAUGCCAAUUGGUCGUUUUCAUCUUCCAUCUUUCAAUUCAGUGAAUGGACUGUGACCAUGCUGGGGCACUACCUUGACGGAGUUCAGUCGAACAGAUCGACCCCGGUACUUAUUCUAGUCAUCUCUUUUACCGAACCGCUAAGUUACAAGAACGUAAACAAAACAACGCCGGUUGUCAAGCGGUGAGGGGAAUAAAUACAAACACGAUCAUACGUGAGCGCAUGCGUGCAUUCGCAUAUACACAACGAGCUUCUGUACAGUUUCCGUCGACUGAAUUCACUCACAAGGCAUUGGUCGGCCUGUGGCUAUAGCAGAGGAUACUUGACCAAGGUGCCGCGGGGUAGGACCAAACCGAACCCGAAACCAGAUGUUUGCAAAGCGAGUUCCUUAACCACACAGCCAUGCCUGCGCCUUUAUAUAGAACAACAUGUGAAGGCUGGUGGCUAAAUGGUCUGGGCAUUCGGAUCACGACUGUAAGGUUGUGAGUUCGAUUUCCAGCGUCGCGUUGAGCCCUUGAGCAAGACACUUUAUUUCACUUUAUUGCUCCAGUCCACUCAGCUGGCAAUAAGGAGUAGUACCUGUAAUUCGAACGGCCGGCCUUGUCACAUUCUGUGUCACGCUCGAUCUCCCUGAGAACUUACUUUAAGUGUACACGUGUCUGUGGAGUGCUCAGCCACUUGCAUGUUAACUUCACGAGUAGGCUGUUCCGUUGAUCCGAUUUACUGCAAGCCUCAUCGUCGCAACCGACGGAGUGUCAGCUUUUUUAAUAGAGAACAAUAACAAAGAUGCACAAUUUAUAAAACGGAAGUCAAAAACACGUUAUUCCAAAGUCAGAGACGAAGGAAUGACCAUGGCAACAAAUCCAGCGAAGUCUCUAAUAACUUAUAUGUUACACGAAUUAAUGAAGUUUCCAGUUUCUAAUUAAAAUUAUUACAUAAUGCAGAGGAAACCUUAGAAAUAGCUGGCAUUGGUACACUAAUUAAAUCAGAUACGAAUCCAAACAGUUUGCCGGAGGUGAAAAAACCGCGUUAAUUUCGCCAAACAAAACCUGGCAAAGCAUUCUGGAAUCUGUUUUCAAUAAUCGAAACCCGAAUAUCUCGGUUGGCCAAAUGACUGCUUGAUCAUCUGAAGGAUAAAGACAUCCUGUCGAAUUAGCAGGAACAGGACAAGAGGAUGUGUAUUUAGGAAUAUAUGCGUGAGUGUGUGUGUGUGUGUGUGUGUGUGUGUGUGAUGUAGUAGAGUCCAUCCCAUACAUACAUACAUGUAUGCAUGCAUGCAUGCAUACAUGUAUGUAUACAUGCAUGCAUACAUGUAUGUAUACAUGCAUGCAUGCAUACAUGUAUGUAUACAUGCAUGCAUACAUGUAUGUAUACAUGCAUGCAUGCAUACAUGUAUGCAUACAUACAUGCAUACAUGUAUGUAUACAUGCAUGCAUGCAUACAUGUAUGUAUACAUGCAUGCAUGCAUACAUGUAUGUAUGCAUGCAUGUAACGUAUGCAUGAACGUAUAUAUGUCUACAUGUAUGUGUGUAUGCAUGUAUGUCUACAUGCAUGUAUGCAUGCUUGCGUGUAUGUAUGUAUGCUUGUAUGUAUGAUUUGUAUGCACGAAUAUCCUACCAAAUAGACAGAAAUGUCAUAAAGGUGCCUGCAUACACACACACAUACAUAUAUGAAUAUGUAUGUGUGUAUGUAUAAAUAUAUAUAUAUAUAUAUAUAUAUAUAUAUAUAUAUAUAUAUAUAUAUAUAUAUGUAUAUACGUAUGUAUGCAUGUAUAUCUACAUCUAGCUAUGUGUGUGUGUGUGUAGUGUAGUGUGUGUGUGUGUGUGUAGUGUGUGUGUGUAGUGUAUAUGCGUAUACGUCGAACAAAUUGCUGAGCGGCAUUUAUUACGGCUUUACGUUCUGAGUUCAAAUUCUGCCGAGGUCGUCUUUACUCUUCGUCCUUCUGGCCUCGAUAAAAUAAGUACCAGUUGGCACCGGGGUCGAUGUAUUCAACACUCCACCUCACCCGAAAAUACUAUCCUUGAACCAAAAAUUUGAAAUCAUCAUCAUCAUCAUCAUCAUCAUCAUCAUUAACAGCAACUAUUUUCUUCGAAGUUUCGCCGAUGCUGACUUGUCAAAAACAUUGUUUACCAAGGACCGGUAAUGGGUUGACAUAGUAACCUAACAUCUAAUUGUUUGUAUCACGGCAUCGCAUAUCUGUUCGAAUGAUGUUCAGUUAAGCAGUCGAUGCAUCAGAGGAGACAUCGCCAGGAUGACUAAGCACAUUAAAGACCGCCUCCUCCUCCUCCCUUCACUUUGCUUUCGCUUUCGUUUUCGCCGUCAGAAUCAAAACUUUCCAACCCCGUCUCCUCUCUUUGUAAUAUAUUUAUUGUUUCCAUCUUUAACUUGUUUCAGUCAUUCGAUUGCGACCAUGCUGGAGCACCACCUUCAAGGGUUUUAGUCGGACAAAUCGACUCCAAGGCUUUUUAUAAAGUCUGGGUACAUGUUCUAUCGUUCUCUUUUGCCGAAUCGCUAUGUUCGGGGACUAAAUACACCAACACCGAUUGUCAAAGACACAAAGAUACACACUUUUGGAAUCCGGCCUGGAAGUCAUUUUCCGCGAGUCGAGGAUUUUCUGCGAUUCGCUCUUGAUUUCGACAACCGUGUUAAAACGGCAACCUUUGAAUUGCAUUUUCAUCUUGGGGAAGGGAUGGGAGUCUGCUAAAUCUGGUGAGUAAGGUGGGUGCGGAAGCAAUACCAUGUUGUUUUUGACGAGAGCCUUACAAGUGAGGAGAGCUCGUUGACAGGUGCAUUGUGUUUGCGAGGAAUCCAAUUUUUGGUGCUCCACAGAUCCGGUCGCUUUCGCCGGAUGUCCUCUUUUCGGAACGCUUCAGAACGUUGCAGUAGAAUUCUCGAUUGGCGGUCUGGCCUUGGCAAACGAAUCCUCGAUGCACAAAUACUGCUCUUGAUUGAGCUGCGGCUCUGUGGUUGCCUUCUUGGGUCGUGGAAGUGAAGGACUCUUCCAUUGUGACGACUGCUGCUUUAUCUCAGGGUCGUACCCGUAGACCCAACUCUCGUCACCGGUAAUGAAGAAUGGGUCAUUAGCGGCACGCUGACGGAGAUCUCGACAGACUUCGCCGCCAUGUUCUUCCUGCUCAGUGGUCGGUGGGCGGAGGACAAACUUGCCAGUGACACGCCGCAUGUUCAAUUCACACGUUAGGAUUGCCUGCUGCACGGACCUCGGACGACAGACCAACAACAUCAGCAAUGUCGUUGAUUGUCCUCCGACGAUCCUCAUACACAAACUGAGGAUUUUUCACCACAUUUCGGUAGGGGGGGGCCGUUUGUGGCAGGUUUUCCAGAUCACCCAUCGUCUUCUGAGGACGCUCUUCCGCUUUUGAAGCGCCCGUGCCACUCGAAACAUGGCACACGACCCAUUACAUUAUUACCAUAAGCUUGCCAAAGCAUGCUCAAUGUCUCGGUAGCAGACUUCGCAAGUUUCACACAAAAUGUCAUGUUGGCUCUUCCUUCCAAAUUCCUGUCCAUGGCAAAAUCACAAAAACACAGAUUUCACAAUUUGUGAAGUAAACACAAGACUGUCACCCGGCACACUUCCUAAUGAAGGUCACUGCACAUGCAACCGUGUGCUGCCAUCUGUUGGCUCGCUACAGAACUCGUCCGGGAACUCUUCGACACCACCUUGUAAAUAUAUAUAUAAUGGAUAAUAAAUAUGUGAGUGUGCGUGUAUGUGUGUGUGUGUGUGUGUGUGUGUGUGUGUGUGUGUGUGUGUGUGUGUGUGUGUGUUGGUGUGUGUGUGUGUUGGUGUGUAUGUAUAAAGCCAAAGACUGGAAUUUGUACUGUUAUAUUUAAUCCUUUAUGUUAGUUGUUGUUGUGUUUGAUGUAGGAGAAUAAUUCGCUUUUACGACGACAGUGUGUUCAACAUAUCCGGUUCGUUGUCGCACUGUAUUCUGGGAUACCAGUGCAAAUAACCUUUUUCUUUUCUUCUUUUUAUUGGUUGGCAGAUACAAGAACCGAUUAACAAACAUUUUGUUAGCUGAAAUUAUAAACAAAACCAACGACUUGGUUUUGACUCAAAGGUUCAGUUAUUUCUGGCUGACGAGACACGUAGAAACACAGAUGUCCCAGAAUGCCGCACACCAACGAGCUUAGUAUGUUGCCCACGCUGUUGUCGUAAAAGAAGGAGAUGGAAGUUAUUCUCCUGUGACAUAUACUACAACGACCGGCAUAUUUUGUGUCUGAACCUACCUAGACGUGUUAAUGAUACUUAAGAAAAUAUUCACUCCUGGUCUCGCAGCACACAGUACAAAUAACGAUUGUUUUAAAAGAGAAGAAUUUAAAUAAAUCCUAAAGAAAACUCAUAUACGCGCACGUACAUAAUAGGCAACUGCUUCAAAACCUUCAGAUUCUAUAUGCAGAUUAUAAAUUCCCAUUUAUACCAGUAAUAAUAGGUGCACUUGGCUUUGUGAGUAAAUCUUCAAGUGAUAAUCUGGACGAGCUAGAGUUUUCAGAAAAAGCAGUCAACCAACAAACUCGCACAUUACAAAUACAAUAUGUAAGUGGAACAAUAAAAAUAUGCAAGAUUUUUCUCAAGUAUAAAAUGUCACAUUCUUAUUUGUUCACAUUCCAACGAUGGAACCCGGUAUCUUUGUUAGAAAGCAGCUCCUUCUUCACAGGAAGAGUUUGAAUAAUAAAAAACAGAAGAGACCAUACAUACAUACAUACAUAUAUACAUAUGCAUACAUACAUGCAUACAUACAUACAUACAUGCAUGCAUACAUACAUGUAUGCAUACAUGCAUGCAUACAUACAUACAUACAUACAUACAUACAUACAUACAUGCAUGCAUACAUACAUACAUACAUACAUACAUACAUACAUACAUACAUACAUACAUACAUACAUACAUACAUAUAUUAUGGCUGCCCCCUCGUUAUCGAGUAUGGCCAUUGCACGAAGCUUAGCUGUUAUUGGUGCUGUGAUCGAAUGUGACUUUUAUUUGCUUUUUAAGGCUACAGCCAGCUAUUCAGUUGAGACUCACAGCACCAUCAACAACCAUGAACAAUGUUGUUAUCGUGCAAUGCCUGUGCAAGAAGAUUUUUUUUUAAGUGAAGAAAGGCUGUGCACUGAGUCAAUCCCACUCAAUAAGCAACAGCAGCCAUAAUCCGAAAAGAAGAACAAGUCAACAUCAUCGGUAACCACUGAGCCGCAGGUUUUAUGUCGGAGUUAUCCCAGUUACCUGAGUUACCUUCUCCUAAAAGGAUGCCCUAACAAAGGCUAGGAGUCCCUCACUCCCAAUGGUUUAACCGCACGAUCGGCUAUUCAGUCCGAUUAUUUCUAUGUCCCCUGCGCAUGAUACAGCCUUAAGACAUUUAUUGGAUGGCCGUUGACUCUCAAGAGUUCCUUCGCCCUUUGAUGGGUUUUGCUUUUCAUCCCGCAGGGUGUCCAAUAAACACCCUCCUCAUCAAGCAAGCUUGGUGGGGUUGCCGGUUUAGUCGCCGACGGCCCGACCAUGCAACAGGUUAUACUGGGUUAUAUGUUACCAGUAGCACUCGAAAGUGACCUGACAUACAUACAUACAUAAUUACAUACAUAAUUACAUACAUACAUACAUACAUACAUACAUACAUGCAUGCAUGCAUGCAUACAUACAUGCAUACAUGUAUGCAUACAUACAUGCAUACAUGCAUGCAUACAUACAUAUAUGCAUGCAUACAUACAUACAUACAUACAUACAUACAUACAUACAUACAUACAUACAUACAUACAUACAUACAUACAUACAUGCGUACAUACAUGCGUACAUACAUGCAUGCAUGCAUACACAUGUAAAAAAUAAUUUUGAGUAAAUCGAAAAAGUUGUCGAAUGCAUAAAAAAUAUAUAAUCUCUCUUUGUGAAUAGAUUAUUUUAGACAGACUCCCGACCUCUACAACUAUUCAGAGCUUUUUCCCUAAACACCUCGAAUAAAUAUGUUGAAUGAAACCACCAAUGGCUAAAAACGUUAUGAUCAAACUACAAAUCGUUUGUUAUAUUGUCGUGGGUUUGAAAAUGUAUACAAGAGCAAGCUGCAAGCUGAGAGACUGAGAAACUUGCUAAAAUCAAUACAUUGAUUUAGCUGCGAUAUUAAAAUUAGUAUUGGGUUAGAUAAAUAACUUAAAGCCACCUGAAGUAGAGGUGAGUUAAUAAAAAAUACUCGUAGUUAAGUCCACAACUGUACUGCAGUUAAGUUUCAUUAGGCACUGAAAUGAGAGGAUUAAAGUAAGAAAUGCGACACAAGUACUUCGGAGGAGAUUAAAAAUUUAAAUACAAUAUAUAGGAAUAUAUAUGAAAAGAUGGCUACAGAAUGGUCAAUCAAUGACUUAUGUUAAAGAUUCAAGUGAAUGAUAGAAAUAAAAUUAUUGAGUAGUAUUUUUGUUUUAUCAGUCAGUCAUAAAGUAUUGUUUUAUUAUAAUAGGUUGCAACAUGGAGCGAGGUAAUAGAAUCGUUAGCAUGUCGAAAAUGCUUCGCGGUAUUUCUUCCGGUUUUGCACUUUGAAUUCAAAUUCUGCUGAGUUCGGCUUGGCCUUUUAUGUUUUUGUGGGGGUCGAUUGAGUAAGUGCCAAGCACCAGGAAUGAGGUAAUCGACUUCUCCACACCCAAGUUGCUGGCCUUGUACCAAUAAUAGAAAGAGUUGGAGAUUGGAACUUAAGUGACCUGAUAUAUAUAUAUAUAUAUAUAUAUAUAUAUAUAUAUAUAUAUAUAUAUAUAUAUAUAUAUAUAUAUAUAUAAUAAUAAAUAUUAGGGAAUGAAUCCAAAUUUACAGGGAAAAAUCAGAUUUAGGGUUAAAUCCAAUUUUAUAGUAAAAUAUUAUAUAAUAUAAUUCGAGACAAAACCACUAUUUUUAAAUCAAACAAGGAAAGACUUAAUCAAUACAUAAAAUUUUAAUAUAAAGUGAUAGACUUUUUAGGCAGAAUCCUCACCCUGCUUCUUAUUAGUGAAUGAUCUGUGUCACAAUCCGCGCUGUGGUAACUACGGGUCAGCUGAACAGAAUUCAGAAAGGGUCUUCGUGUAAUGAUGAGAUCCAGCUGAUGCCAGUGGUGAGAUCUUGGAUGUCUCUAAGAUGCCUUGUGGGAUGUCUUGUUGGCAAAGAAUGUGUUAGUGAUGCACAGGUUAUGGUAUGUGCAAAAUUCAAGUAGUCUCUGGCCAUUGUCUUUCAUGUUGCCAAUACCAAAACACAUACACUUACAUAUAUACAUACAUAUAUACACGAUCGAUUUGUUUCAGUUCUUGUCUGCGAAAUCCAUAUAUAUAUAUAUAUGUUUAUUUUAGUAGUUUUGACUGCAAAAGUCCCUCCUAGCGUGCGGUACCUAUGAAUAAUAGUAUCCUCUAUAUAAUAUAUAUAUAUAUAUAUAUAUAUAUACAUAUAUGCAUACACACACAUACAUACAUAUAUAUUUGGAAUUUGCAAAAGAAACGAACAAAAGACGAAGACGGGUGUGUAAACAGCAAACAGGUUUAUUAGUUUAACGCUUCGGACUUAGGAAAAUUUAUAUAGGGAGUACUACUAAUUUUAAAAUUAAAUAUAGGGGACACAAGAAUUCAUUUAUUCACCCCUAUAUAAAAAAUUACAGACAUUUUAGUAUGUUGUAAGCAUAAAUAUUUAGGGUCUUAUAAUUUUCUUAAACUUUAAAAUAUAAUUUUUUAGAAUAUAAAAGCUUUUUGAAAAUACGGUCCAAUUAGGUCAUUAGAUCUAAUGAACACUUAUGCACAAACCUGUAAUCUUAAAUUAUUUUUUUUAUAGUAGAGAGUGGAAUAUUCCUAUUGGCUAUUAUUUGCAUGAUUAACUAGAGUUAACCUUUCAAUGAAUUUCAUUUCUUCUUUAAAUGUGGUAAUCCUCUUGAAAAUCUGUCACUUAUUCUCGAUACUCAUAAACUGAACUUUCACCAACUGAAUACUCACCAUGUAGUGCCUUAAUGCUUUUUGCUGGAUUUUACCUCGAGAAA